rnacentral:rRNA from 1 species
GAUGAACGCUGGCGGCGUGCCUAAUACAUGCAAGUCGAGCGAACAGACGAGGAGCUUGCUCCUCUGACGUUAGCGGCGGACGGGUGAGUAACACGUGUAUAACCUCCCUAUAAGACUGGGAUAACUUCGGGACACCGGAGCUAAUACCGGAUAAUAUAUUGAACCGCAUGGUUCAAUGGUGAAAGACGGUUUUGCUGUCACUUAUAGAUGGAUCCGCGCCGCAUGAGCUAGUUGUUAAGGUCACGGCGUUCCAAGGCGACGAUGCGUAGCCGACGGGAGAGGGGGGUCGGCCGCAUGGGAGCGGGGACGCGGUCAAGACGCCUACGGGAGGGAGCAGUAGCGAACCUGCCGCAAUGGGCGAAAGCCUGACGGAGCAACGCGGCGUGAGUGAUGAAGGCCCUCGGAGCGUAAAACUCUGUUAUGAGGGAAGAACAAAUGUGUAAGGAAAUAUGCACGUCUUGACGGUAACUAAUCAGAAAGCCACGGCUAACUACGUG